UUCAUGCCUUCAUUUCUUUUAUCUUUUUUCAUCCAUUCUGUCUUUCCUUCAUUCCUUCUUUCUUUUCUUCAUUUCCUCCCUUUUGUCUCUUCCUUGCUUUCCUUCCUUCCUAGAAAUACUUUUGUCCCAGAAGUCCCCAUGCUGUCUGUAUCUCUCCGAGUGGGAAAUGGUGAGAUGAGAAUGUUUAAAGUGUCUGACUGUCUUUCCCCCUUUGGCCAGUCAGAGAUGCUGCGCUGGUUCAGAACUCCUUCGUUCGCAGUUAACUGAAGAGCACGAGCCGUGCAGCCGAGACUGUUCAAACCACGGUCCUCCAUGGCCUUAGUCAUAUUUUGGGCAUUAUCUCGCAGCACAACUUUCACCAAACCUUUCGUUAUGUUCCACUGAACUAACACGCUCUAGCGGCGCUGGUCAUGGGCACCGCUGUUGUUUGUUUGGCAGUGACUGUCUGAUAAUCUUUAUAAAUUUCCUGAUGGUGGAACUUCGUCUGAAGACAUCUGAAAUGAGUUGUAUUGAAGUUUUUUAUUUUCCGGCCUCCUUGCGUUACCUCACGUUGCCAGGUGUCGCAAAUUGCAAUUCUGAUGUCGUCCUUUUUCACCAAUAAACAUAACGUUUAAAAGGAGCGUUUAUCGGCCGAUGCCAGUAUUACAUGCAUAGCACCAGAUGUGUUCACACGAGUCCAUCAUGAGUAGGAGAGACGAGUCUGUGUGUUUGUAUGAGGAAAUGACAAUCAUGUAGAGGAGGCUUUUAUAAAUAAAGUUACAUUUUGUGGGACACCCUGUAUAACGGGCGGUUCGAAACAGUACUAACGGCGGGAGUCGAGUCCUGUACACCUCUGCCGUGUAAGUUCAUCACAGAAACGGUCUGUUGAACUGGAAUUAUUACACUUUGACGAGUUGUGACUUUUCCUGCAUUCUUCUCCAGUCGCCUAGUGCUGAUUUGAAGUCUUGUGCGUUAUCCUUCACCGUGUUUGUUCUCUUUGUGCAUCAGGACUGCACAGUCUUAGCUCUGUCUCUCAGCUCAGCGGCGUGCUAAAUCCAAGACUUAGCACAAACCUGUUUUCAUUUCAAACACAAGCAGAGCAAUUUCAUUAGUUACGCUUUGCAAAUCAGCAAAGCAAAACUAUUUAUUGUGAUCUCCAGAAGCACAACAUUAUGCUCGUGAGUCAUACAAGGAGCUUUUUUUAAAUUUAAAAAUAAAUAAAUAUUUAUAUAUAUUUGUGUGUGCGCUUUAGUUAUUAAACAAUUUGAUUGGACAACGCCGAUGUUAUUCGGAAGCUGUAGCAGCGCUGGAUUUUUGGAAAGGUAGGACUGAAGUGGAAAUGAUCCAUUUUCAACAUCUUUUGAGGUGAAUAUUAAACCCCCAGGCCAUGUAGCAAGAGACAGCGCUACUCCAUCAUUCCAUGAAGCUUCUAUUUCAAGGGAACGGCUACAUGCCUGAAACUCUUAUUUAUGAUGCAAAUGCUUGCUUGAGUAUCCUAUUACUCUAAAUCUACUUUGUUCACAAUUUCAGGAGUUAGUUUGUUGUACAGACAGCAGCAUGGUUUUUUUUUUUUUCAUUUUUAAUACAGUAUGUUUGUGUGGAGUUUGCAUACACGUCGGUGUAAUCCGCUUCCUGCGGUAGCAUGGAUCCGCUGCAGUUUAUACAGGGAAACUGUAAGGACUACGGAUAAGUGGAGGAACUACAGUGGGGGGGGAUAAGUAUUGAACGCGUCAACAUUUUUUUUUCAGUGAAUAUAUUUCCAACGAGGCUUUUCACGUGAAAUUUUCACUAGAUAUCAGUAUUCACUCAAGAAAUCCAGAAAUAUAAAGAAUUCACAACGUUAAAGUCCAUAAAUGAAGUCAUGUGGAAUGACACAGGAAAAAAGUAUCGAACGCGCUACGAAAAACAGUUCUCCAAGGCAAGGAACCAGCUGAAAUCCGUACGUAAUUAUACCCCCUAUGUGUGCAAAUUAAUAUCAGCCGGGUUAGUAAAUUGGUCUAUAAAAAGCUUUUCGUUACCAAGGUGUCACACAGGAACCAUGUCAUGAUGGAUAAAACUAAAGAGCUCUUCUAAGACCUUCGCUUCAUUGUGAAAUCUAUUGAUGGAAUCAGAUACAGAGGUAUUUCAAAACUUCUGAAUCCUCACGUAAGCACCAUCGGGGCUUUCUUCAUACAGGAAGCGUCUUGAAGCAGUCAUUACAAACGAAGGCUUCACUACGUAUUCAGUAAAUUUCAGUUAGCGUGGUCAAUACUUUUUUUCCUGUGCCAUUCCACUUCAUUACACACAGCUUCAUUUAUGGACUUUUAAUGUCGUGAAUCUUUCUAUUUCUGGAUGUCUUGAGUUAAUACUGAUGUCUGGUGAGAAUUUCAUCUGAAUGGCCUCAUUGGAAAUAUAUUUACUGAAAAAAAAAUGUUGACACGUUCAAUACUUAUUUCCCUCAUAUAUACAUAACCAGUUUUUAUCCUAACAUGGAGUACUGCGAUGUAGAAAGUUCUAUAAGAAAUCCCAAAAUAUUUGAUGCGCUUUUGAUAAAUCGCAACGUUCACAUUAUUUAGCAAAAGCAAUAAUUUUAUGCAUUAUGCAAAAAAAAAAAAAAAACCAAACCUAUGCAAGGUGUCCCAGGCGUUAAUAUGUAAAGCGUGUUGCAGCCCCAGUAUGUAGCAAUGCAAUUUAGAUGUAGUUUUUUUUUUUUUUGUUGUCCAUGUUAUGCAUCUCUAAUAGUUAGCGGAUGAAUAUAUGCUUGUUAGAGUUUGAAAUGUUCAGGGUUAGAUGACCUAGUGUAAAAAAUAUCACCGGUUUAAAAAUGUGUAAUUUGCCGGUGGCACGAAUGAAAGGAACGUAUUGAAACGAAUUCCUAGUAAAAAAAAGUGUCUCUGCACAUUCUUGUAUGUAUAAAAAAACAAAAAAACCCCAAAGGGAAUCAAAAACGAUCCCGUAAUUGUUGUUGUUUUUGAGAGAGUCUUUUCCAUGAAGUCUUUUAUCGUCAGUAUUAUCGUUGUGCUGUUAAGCUAAGCAGAAGUUCUGCAGGAGCUACUGUAUGUUUUUUGGACUUUUGCGUGUGAAAAUCCCAGAAGAUGAGUCGUUUCUGAAAUACUCAGACCUGGAUCGAGACGUUUUUUUAUUUUUCGGGCGUGAUUUUAGUUUCUUCCCGCAUUUGAUUAUAGCGAGGCAUUCAGUUCGGUUACAUUUUAUUUGUGUAGCACUUAUAACGAAGCAGCGCUACAGAAAUAAAUACCUUCCAGAUGUGGAUUUUAAAUGCAUGAAUCUAUCCCCAAUGAGCAAGCCAGAGGCGACGGUGGCGAGGAGGAACUCCUUGAGGCGAUGUGAGGACGAAACCCUGAGAGGAACCGGACUCAAAAGUGAACCCGUCCUCAUCUGGGGGAUUCCGGAGAGUAAUUGCGUAACCAGGAAAUUCAUUAUAGUUUUCACAUGAGGUCUAUUUCCUCGAACUUAUCCACUGUUCACUGAUGGAGACUUUAGUGCAAAAGUAUUUGUGGCAGUUGCAGUCCUAAGGCUGUCAUCGCAGCCAAGCCAUCGUAGCAACUGUUCAUAUGAAUUGUGGUCAAAGCUAUCUUCAUGUAUUUUCUUUUUCUUUUUCUUUUUGUUGUGUUACCAUCCUCAAUAAUCUCAGUGAUCUUCAGGCUGUCCAUGUGGGGCCUUGAUUUCCUAUUGAUGAGAAGAGUAAAUUAACUAGGUCUCAAAGUGAAUACAUGAUCUAUAUGUUCUUUUAUGCCUACUAUAUGGAAAUAAUUAAAGUUUCUAAAAGAGAAGUCAUUCAGUUCCUACCCGCUCUCAGAUAAGGAAAGUCCGUUGUUGGUUCUACGUGGGAUUUCGCAUUUUACACUGGAUUCUACAGCCACUCAAGACUUGGUUUGUAAACCGUCGUUUUUGUGUAGCGUUAUAUAUAGAUCGACAUGGCACACUUAUCAAAAGGCUCAGAAGCCCUAACACUUACUCUUAUCUGUGAAAAUGCAAAUUGGAAACGUUCCGACCCUACAGGUUACACGUUCUUGUAACUCAUUUGCCGUCCAGUAGAACGUACGAUACAAAUACAAAGAUUUUUAGUUUGUGCGUUUGUUAGAGCGAUGUGGCAAAACCUCGUAUCACCGUGCAGCUUUCUGGUUUCCCACUGACGCUAAGCAGCGCUGUGCCUGACCGGUACCUGGAUUGGAGACCUGGAGAAAGCUAACCUUGCUGCUGGAAGUGGUAUUAGUGAGGCCAGCAGGGGGCGCUCACCCUGUGGUCUGUAUGGGGUUUAAUGCCCCAGUAUAGUGAUGCAGCACUGUCUUUCAGAUGAGAACGGAGGUCUUGACUCUUUGUGGUCAUUAAAAAUCCCAGGACACUUAUCGUCAAAGAAGGAGUAGGGGUAUAACUCCGGUGUCCUGCUGAAAUUCCCCAUCGGCCCUUCUCCAUCACGGCCCCCUUAUAAUCACCAUCCCUGAAUUGGCUACAUCGCUCUCUCCUCUCCACUAAUAGCUGGUGUGUGUUGGUUGGAUGCGACACGCUGGUGCUCAUCAAGGAGAUUUCCACAUACGACGUAAAGCGCUUUGAGUGUCUAGAAAAGCGGUGUAUAAAUCUAAGGACUUAUUAUUACUGUUUGUUUUUGAAUGCAUUCAUUUUCCCAAAAGGAUUUAAUCAUAACUGUGUCUUCUAAAGUUUGCCUUUGAGCUUGAAAAUCAGCGGCACAGCACAAUCAUUCCUGAAUAUUUUUGGUGUUAAAAUGAACCACUAAAGUAAUGAACUUGAUCUAUUUAAACUUCGAAUUGGAAAUCAACCAAAGGUUAAUAUUCUCCGUUUAAAUAUCACAGAUUCUGGCAAAGUGUGUGUGUGUGUGUGUAAGAGAGAGAGGAAUAUAAGCGUUUAAACUCCAUGGCCAAGAAUAGGCUCAUUUCUCACAGGCGAUUGCUGGCGAGGAAAUACAGCCCAAAUUGAAUUAGUUUACAUGAGGGGAUGAAAAUUGAAAUAUGGAUCGGAGUUGCAAAUGCCUGUCUGCGCGCUCAUAUAUGGGAUGAAAUAUAUUAUUGCUCUCUCAUAUUGCGUGUGCUUAUGUGUGUGUUUUUUUUUUUUGAAGCGGCGUGUUUAAAGAGCCCUUGGCUGCUGGUUUUGUUAGUCGUGUAGGUCUAAUAAAUGGUAUUGAUAUUUAAAAAGUUUGUGUUUUGAGGAAAUACCGGAGCAGCACGUUCGCCUCACACCUCCAGGGUCGGGGGUUCGAGUAGCACCGUGGCUCUGUGUGUGCGGAGUUAGCAUGUUCUCCCUGUGCUGCGGGGGUUUCCUCCGGGUACUCCGGUUUCCUCCACCAGUCCAAAGACAUGCAUGGUAGGUUGAUUGGCAUGUCUAAAGUGUCCGUAGUGUACGAAUGGGUGUGUGAGUGUGUAUGUGAUUGUGCCCUGUGAUAGAUUGGCACCCUGUCCAGGGUGUACCCCGCCUUGUGCCCGAUGCUCCCUGGGAGAGGCUCCAGGUUUCCCAUGACACUGAAGGAUAAGCGGUAUAGAAGAUGGAUGGAACACUGGAGGGUUUUACUGUCUUUGAUGGGUUUAUAUUAUACACGAAGAGGCAGAUUUGCCUAUGGGGAAUCUUCCGUAGAAAGCUCGGUCGCUCUAUCAGACAUGCGUGCCGCGGUCACCUUCUAUAUACAUGAAUCCACAUCCUGCACGUUAGAGCUCUUUCCCAGUGACGCAUUCGAUUAUACACUGGGAUAUACUUGCAUAUGUACUACAUCAGCAUGUGUACUAUUCUAGAUUGUUUUCGAUCUUGAGUGCUAACACUAACUGGUUUUCCUGUGAGAGUCAGUGUUUGAAGGAACAGGUUUUCAACAGAGCUUGUCAGUGUGUUGAACAUCGCCGUGCAUGACGAACAGGGAUAUUUCGGCUCUCGUGCUGUCUAAUGGCCGUCUCUUUUAAUCCCACUGAAGUACGCAGGCGAGUGUGUUAACAAUGCCACUCGCGCUGCCACUGCUUCUGCACACCCACACUAAGACAUUCGUUAAGUAUUAUUCAAAAUAUAUAGAACAUGAUCAAAUAAUGGUUUAAACCAUGACCUCAGGACAAAAGUAUUUUGUGCGUGAGAAAGUCCGUUUGGAAAACUGACGUCUGGUCCACGAUGCUUGUCUGUUUUUGUUUUGUUUUUGACUCCCAUUUUAACGUGGACACUUUGGGACACCGUAGGUCCUGGGGUUCUGCUUUGUACACAUGCGUGGCAGUAAAUCGAAUAUCGAUCGCUAUUACAAUUUCGACUGUCCACGAUUACAUGAACACGAAGCUUUCGGAUACGAGUGCAUUAGAGCCAAGGCGCUCUGCACUUAAACCCCCUCUCUCCUUCCGGACGCUUUAACGCAGACGUGUAAACCAGACUUUACACAUCAUCAUAUAACAAACUGCACGUACGACAGAUCUGUUGGAUUUUCCGUUUCAAACACACAUUUGUUCAUCGUCUUCAUCUUCCCUUUUAUUUACAUCACUUCCUUUUGAAGUCUGCUGGUGAUUUGCUCGUAAUUGACAUCGUCCUGUCUCCUACUGCGCUGCUCAUUUAUCGCACAAUCCUGUCUUCAGCACAAAUGUUCAGUUUCUGAAUCGCUUCUGUUUUCCAGACAUUUCUCCUGUUCUGUAGUUUAUGUGCUCAGAAAGUGUCAGCAUGUCCCAGUCAUUAAGAUGUCCUCCUUAUUUCCGGUGAUGUCCUGCCAUCUGUUCCUUCCUAUAAAUGCAGUGUAUAUAUAAUUCAAUUCGAUUUGAUUUGUGUAGCGCUUUUAACAAUGGGCAUGGUCUCAAAGCAGCUUUACAGAAACAUAUAAAGACAGGAUACAGAUUUUAAGUGUGUGAAUUUAUCCCUAAUGAGCAAGUCGGUGGUGAGGAAGAACUCCCUAAGGUGAUAUGAGGAAGAAACCUCGAGAGGAACCAGACUCGGAAGGGAACCCGUCCUCGUCUGGGUGACGCCGGAUAGUGUGAAAGUGAAAGGAAGUUCAUUAUGGAUUUAACGUGAAGUCUGUUUGUUGAACUAGUCCACUGUUCACUAAAGGAGACCACAGUGAGAAUGUCCAUGUGGAAUUGAGGUCCAAAACCACUUCCAUGGUUCUUCAAGCGGUAGCAUCCUCAGCAAUCUCCAGGACGUAGCCUCCAGUUGAUGAGGGCUCCAUACAGAUGCAGGGCGUCAGGAUUGAUCAGGCAGGUCCACAGAGAGAGGUCAAGAGAGGGAGAGAUUAUUAGGUGUGCUUACUAAUCUACGUAUACGGUGUAUAAUUAAACGUGUAGACAUGCGCAUACACUCAGUUUGUGCUUCACUUUGACCUGUCAGGCGUGAUCUCUUCAUUAGUAUUCAUGCAAAUGGAGGACUGCUGCAGAUAUGACGGAUGGUAUUUGGAGAGAGAGGAAUGGAGAGAGCGACUGGGAAAACGAAAGGCCAAGAGAUCGUGAGGAGAUAUGGAGAAGUGGCAUUUCUACACCUUCAACAAUUUUGUGUGUGUGAGAUUUUGCUGGAUAUGCAGAAUGGGUGGCAUUUGAGAUUUAGCCUAACCCCUGUGCUCUGUGUGUAUGUGUAUGUAUGUAUAUAUGUGUGUGUAUAUAUGUGUGUGUGUGUGUGUGUAUGUAUAUAUGUGUGUGUGUGUAUGUAUAUAUGUGUGUGUGUGUGUGUGUGUGUGUGUGUAUCUGUGUGUGUAUGUAUGUAUACAUGUGUGUGUAUCUGUGUGUGUGUGUAUGUAUGUGUGUGUAUCUGUGUGUAUGUAUGUAUGUAUGUGUGUGUGUGUGUGUGUGUGUAUGUAUGUGUAUUUAUCUAUGUAGGUGUGUGUGUGUGUGUGUAUGUAUGCAGGUGUAUAUGUGUGUGUGUGUGUGUGUGUGUAUGUAUCUAUGUAGGUGUGUGUGUGUAUCUAUGUAUGUGUGUGUAUGUAUGUGUGUGUAUGUAUGUGUAUGUAUCUAUGUAGGUGUGUAUGUAUGUGUGUGUAUCUGUGUGUAUGUAUGUAUCUAUGUAUGUGUAUGUAUGUGUAUGUAUCUAUGUAGGUGUGUGUGUGUGUGUGUGUAUGCAGGUGUAUAUGUAUCUAUGUGAGUGUGUGUGUAUGUAUGUGUGUGUGUGUGUGUAUAUGUCUGUGUGUUGAAGGAUGGUGAAGAGUUGUGUGUGUGUGUGUGUGUGUGUGUGUGUAUGUGCUUUGCCGUGGUUGGCCUCAGCCAUUAAGAGCACGUAGAGAAACUGUAGAGUCGUUGGCAGAGUCACAUGCUUAAGGUAAAAGUAAUAGUAGGAAAAGAGCAGGUGUGUGAGAGAGCGAGAGCGAGACACCGUUGCCUGAUUGAAAUCAAUACUUCAUAUGGUUGUGAAAUUGCCUUUUUGUUUUUGAGGAAUGAGCGAGCGAAAGAGAGAGAGGGUACGUCUUGCAUCGUUCUUUUCAACUAACGUCAUGACUAUACAAAAGGUCCCGGCUGUUUAAGAGCUCGGUGCUCACUGAUCUUUAAAUCCUUGCUUGCUGUGUAUUAUUUUGGAGAUCGACCCUUUUAUUUUU
ensembl:lncRNA